rnacentral:rRNA from 1 species
UACAGAGGUCUCAAGCGUUGUUCGGAUUCAUUGGGCGUAAAGGGUGCGUAGGCGGCGCGGUGAGUCGGGUGUGAAAUCUCGGAGCUUAACUCCGAAACUGCAUUCGAUACUGCCGUGCUUGAGGACUGGAGAGGAGACUGGAAUUUACGGUGUAGCGGUGAAAUGCGUAGAUAUCGUAAGGAAGACCAGUGGCGAAGGCGAAUCCCUGGAAAAUACCUGACACUGAGGCACGAAAGCUAGGGGAGCAAACAGG